ACUACGUGGGUGAUCAGAAAAUUCUCAGUGCUCUAUACUGCUAGUGGGAAGAAGGGUGUAUUAGUACAACCACAUUGGAAAAGUUUCCCCUAACCUAGGAGGGUCAGAUGUGUUAACAAUUCCACUCCUAGAUUAUUCCCUGAAGAAACUCAUGCUCAUGUACACCAGGAGCCAUGCACAAAGAAUGUUCUCAGCAGUAUCGUUCCUCAGAGCAAAAACACGAAACGAAACAGGGGUCUACAGUAUGACUCCAUGUCUAUCAUGUUCAAAAACAUUCUUUAGUUAUGCCUAAAUUAUGCAGAGAUUGGUCAUAGGUGGUAAAACUACUGAAAACAAAUCAAGAGAAUGAUUAUUACAAAAGAAUAGCUGUGAGGGUACGGCUCUUUAACUGGGGUGGGAGGGUCAGGCUUCCAUGUGUGGUCCUAACCUUUUCAUUCCCUAACCUGGGGGAUAGAAACAUAGAAGUUCAUUAUUUUGUUUUAAUGUAUGUGUGUGGCUAU